rnacentral:rRNA from 1 species
UACGUAGGGAGCAAGCGUUGUCCGGAAUCAUUGGGCGUAAAGCGCGCGUAGGUGGCUUCGUAAGUCCGUUGUGAAAGUCAAAGGCUCAACCUUUGAAAGCCGAUGGAUACUGCGGAGCUAGAGUACGGAAGAGGCGAGUGGAAUUCCUGGUGGUAGCGGUGGAAUGCGCAGAUAUCAGGAGGAACACCAAUAGCGAAGGCAGCUCGCUGGGACGUUACUGACACUGAGGCGCGAAGGCGUGGGGAGCGAACAG